CGAACCGGGGGAACUGAAACAUCUAAGUACCCCGAGGAAAAGAAAUCAACCGAGAUUCCCCCAGUAGCGGCGAGCGAACGGGGAGGAGCCCAGAGCCUGAAUCAGCAUGUGUGUUAGUGGAAGCGUCUGGAAAGGCGCGCGAUACAGGGUGACAGCCCCGUACAUAAAAGCGCAUGUGCUGGGAGCUCGAUGAGUAGGGCGGGACACGUGGUAUCCUGUCUGAAUAUGGGGGGACCAUCCUCCAAGGCUAAAUACUCCUGACUGACCGAUAGUGAACCAGUACCGUGAGGGAAAGGCGAAAAGAACCCCGGCGAGGGGAGUGAAACAGAACCUGAAACCGUGUACGUACAAGCAGUGGGAGCCCCACCACUAAGCCAGUGGUGAACUCCACAUACGCAUCCUUUGCUGAGGAUACGGUUAACGGAGCGAAAGCGACGUUCAACCGCAAAAGAAGCAGAGGGGGCUUAGUGGUGGGGUGACUGCGUACCUUUUGUAUAAUGGGUCAGCGACUUAUAUUCUGUAGCAAGGUUAACCGCAUAGGGGAGCCGGAGGGAAACCGAGUCUUAAUUGGGCGUUAAGUUGCAGGGUAUAGACCCGAAACCCGGUGAUCUAGCCAUGGGCAGGUUGAAGGUUGGGUAACACUAACUGGAGGACCGAACCGACUAAUGUUGAAAAAUUAGCGGAUGACCUGUGGCUGGGGGUGAAAGGCCAAUCAAACCGGGAGAUAGCUGGUUCUCCCCGAAAGCUAUUUAGGUAGCGCCUCGUGAAUUCAUCUCCGGGGGUAGAGCACUGUUUCGGCCAGGGGGCCAUCCCGGCUUACCAAUCCGAUGCAAACUGCGAAUACCGGAGAAUGUUAUCACGGGAGACACACGGCGGGUGCUAACGUCCGUCGUGAAGAGGGAAACAACCCAGACCGCCAGCUAAGGUCCCAAAGUCAUGGUUAAGUGGGAAACGAUGUGGGAAGGCCCAGACAGCCAGGAUGUUGGCUUAGAAGCAGCCAUCAUUUAAAGAAAGCGUAAUAGCUCACUGGUCGAGUCGGCCUGCGCGGAAGAUGUAACGGGGCUAAACCAUGCACCGAAGCUGCGGCAGCGACACUGAUGUGUUGUUGGGUAGGGGAGCGUUCUGUAAGCCGUUGAAGGUGGCCUGUGAGGGUUGCUGGAGGUAUCAGAAGUGCGAAUGCUGACAUAAGUAACGAUAAAGCGGGUGAAAAGCCCGCUCGCCGGAAGACCAAGGGUUCCUGUCCAACGUUAAUCGGGGCAGGGUGAGUCGACCCCUAAGGCGAGGCCGAAAGGCGUAGUCGAUGGGAAACGGGUUAAUAUUCCCGUACUUGGUGUUACUGCGAAGGGGGGACGGAGAAGGC
rnacentral:rRNA from 1 species